rnacentral:rRNA from 1 species
CGCUUUUCGCAAAGGAUUCUAAUGUAUGAGGGGUCCUGCCUGCCCAGUGACUUUAAGUUAAACGGCCGCGGUAUUUUGACCGUGCAAAGGUAGCAUAAUCACUUGCCUCUUAAAUAGAGGCUGGUAUGAAUGGCAAGACGGGGGUUUCGCUGUCUCUCUCUUAAUAGUUGAAUUUAAUAUUCUUGUGAAGAAGCAGGGAUUAGGUCGUAGGACGAGAAGACCCUGUCGAGCUUAAGCUGUGGCGGCGAGUGCCGGAAGUAUUCUUUUACUAAUUUUUGCCUUGUGAGGGGUAAUUGUUUUUAUUUAAGGUAUGAGUGUGCUGUGUUGUUUUAUGUUUUGAUUGGGGCAAUCGCGGAGAAGAUGUAACCUCCGUUAUAAGUGUUAAUGUUGUAAAGUGACUUCUUUGUAGGGUAUAAAUGCGUAUUAUUUGAUCCAUAUUUAGUGAGCAAAGGAAUAAGUUACCGCAGGGAUAACAGCGUAAUUUUUUUGGAGAGUUCAUAUUGAUAA